GGGGGGGUAGUUCUGUGGUAGAGCUCCCGCUUCGUAUGCGGGAAGAUCUGGGUUCGAUUCUCGGCUGCUUCC
rnacentral:tRNA from 1 species